rnacentral:misc_RNA from 1 species
GAUGAAGAACGUAGCGAAACGCGAUAAGUAGUGUGAAUUGCAGAAUUCAGUGAAUCAUCGAAUCUUUGAACGCACAUUGCGCCCGCCAGCAUUCUGGCGGGCAUGCCUGUUCGAGCGUCAUUUCAACCCUCGAGCCCCCCCGGGGGCCUCGGUGUUGGGGGACGGCACACCAGCCGCCCCCGAAAUGCAGUGGCGACCCCGCCGCAGCCUCCCCUGCGUAGUAGCACACACCUCGCACCGGAGCGCGGAGGCGGUCACGCCGUAAAACGCCCAACUUUCUUAGAGUUGACCUCGGAUCAGGUAGGAAUACCCGCUGAACUUAAGCAUAUCAAUAAGCGGAGGA